rnacentral:rRNA from 1 species
AGUGAACGCUGGCGGUAGGCCUAACACAUGCAAGUCGAACGGCAGCACAGUAAGAGCUUGCCCUUACGGGUGGCGAGUGGCGGACGGGUGAGGAAUACAUCGGAAUCUACUUUUUCGUGGGAGAUAACGUAGGGAAACUUACGCUAAUACCGCAUACGACCUACGGGUGAAAGCAGGGGAUCUUCGGACCUUGCGCGAUUGAAUGAGCCGAUGUCGGAUUAGCUAGUUGGCGGGGUAAAGGCCCACCAAGGCGACGAUCCGUAGCUGGUCUGAGAGGAUGAUCAGCCACACUGGAACUGAGACACGGUCCAGACUCCUACGGGAGGCAGCAGUGGGGAAUAUUGGACAAUGGGCGCAAGCCUGAUCCAGCCAUACCGCGUGGGUGAAGAAGGCCUUCGGGUUGUAAAGCCCUUUUGUUGGGAAAGAAAAGCAGCAGGUUAAUACCCCGCUGUUCUGACGGUACCCAAAGAAUAAGCACCGGCUAACUUCGUG